rnacentral:rRNA from 1 species
GACGAACGCUGGCGGCGUGCUUAACACAUGCAAGUCGAACGAAGAGCGACGGAAGCUUGCUUCUAUCAAUCUUAGUGGCGAACGGGUGAGUAACGCGUAAUCAACCUGCCCUUCAGAGGGGGACAACAGUUGGAAACGACUGCUAAUACCGCUUACGAUCUAAUCUCGGCAUCGAGGAUAGAUGAAAGGUGGCCUCUACAUGUAAGCUAUCACUGAAGGAGGGGAUUGCGUCUGCUUAGCUAGUUGGAGGGGUAACGGCCCACCAAGGCGAUGAUCAGUAGCCGGUCUGAGAGGAUGAACGGCCACAUUGGGACUGAGACACGGCCCAGACUCCUACGGGAGGCAGCAGUGGGGAAUCUUCCGCAAUGGACGAAAGUCUGACGGAGCAACGCCGCGUGAGUGAUGACGGCCUUCGGGUUGUAAAGCUCUGUUAAUCGGGACGAAAGGCCUUCUUGCAAAUAGUGAGAAGGAU